AGAGUUUGAUCCUGGCUCAGGACGAACGCUUGCGGCGUGCCUAAGAAAUGCAAGUCGAACGAGGUUAGGAGCUUGCUCCGAAGCCUAGUGGCGAACGGUCGCGUAACACGUAAGCAACCUGCCCUGAAGUGGGGGAUAGCCCUCCGAAAGGGGGAUUAAUACCGCAUGUGGAUGUUUUCAUGCAUGUUUAGACAUCUAAAGCAGCGAUGCGCUUCAGGAUGGGCUUGCGGCCUAUCAGCUAGUUGGUGAGGUAACGGCUCACCAAGGCGACGACGGGUAGCUGGUCUGAGAGGAUGGUCAGCCGGACUGGGACUGAGAUACGGCCCAGACUCCUACGGGGGGCAGCAAUUAGGAAUCUUGCGCAAUGGGGGCAACCCUGACGCAGCGACGCCGCGUGAAGGAUGACAGCCUUCGGGUUGUAAACUUCUUUUAAGAAGGAAGAAUUAAGUGACGGUACUUCUUGAAUAAGCCCCGGCUAACUACGUGCCAGCAGCCGCGGUAAUACGUAGGGGGCGAGCGUUGUCCGAAUUUACUGGGCGUAAAGCGCGCGUAGGCGGACCUUUAAGUGGAGGGUGAAAUCUUGGGGCUCAACCCCAAAACUGCCUUUCAAACUGGGGGUCUUGAGGUAUGGAGAGGGAAGUGGAAUUCCUGGUGUAGCGGUGAAAUGCGUAGAUAUCAGGAGGAACACCCGUGGCGAAGGCGGCUUCCUGGCCAUAUCUGACGCUGAGGUGCGAAAGCUAGGGGAGCGAACGGGAUUAGAUACCCCGGUAGUCCUAGCCGUAAACGAUGGAUACUAGGUGUUAGUGGUAUCGACCCCACUAGUGCCGCAGCUAACGCAAUAAGUAUCCCGCCUGGGGAGUACGGCCGCAAGGUUGAAACUCAAAGGAAUUGACGGGGGCCCGCACAAGCGGUGGAGCAUGUGGUUUAAUUCGUCAUUAACCGAAGAACCUUACCAGGGUUUGACAUGUAGGGAAGUCUGAUGAAAGUCGGAUGUGCCCCCAAAAGGGGAGCCCUAACACAGGUGUUGCAUGGCUGUCGUCAGCUCGUGUCGUGAGAUGUUGGGUUAAGUCCCGCAACGAGCGCAACCCUCAUUCGAUGUUGCCAGCGGGUAAAGCCGGGAACUCUUCGAAAACUGCCCGUGUAAGCGGGAGGAAGGUGAGGAUGACGUCAAGUCGGCAUGGCCCUUACACCCUGGGCUACACACAUGCUACAAUGGACG
rnacentral:rRNA from 1 species